AUUGAACGCUGGCGGCAUGCCUUACACAUGCAAGUCGAACGGCAGCACGGGAGCAAUCCUGGUGGCGAGUGGCGAACGGGUGAGUAAAGUAUCGGAACGUGCCCAGUCGUGGGGGAUAACGUAGCGAAAGUUACGCUAAUACCGCAUACGAUCUAUGGAUGAAAGCGGGGGAUCGCAAGACCUCGCGCGAUUGGAGCGGCCGAUAUCAGAUUAGGUAGUUGGGGGGGUAAAGGCUCACCAAGCCGACGAUCUGUAGCUGGUCUGAGGGGACGACCAGCCAAACUGGGACUGAGACACGGCCCAGACUCCUACGGGAGGCAGCAGUGGGGAAUUUUGGACAAUGGGCGAAAGCCUGAUCCAGCCAUGCCGCGUGCAGGAUGAAGGCCUUCGGGUUGUAAACUGCUUUUGUACGGAACGAAAAGGUUUGGGCUAAUAAGCUGAGCUCAUGACGGUACCGUAAGAAUAAGCACCGGCUAACUACGUGCCAGCCGCCGCCGUAA
rnacentral:rRNA from 1 species